rnacentral:lncRNA from 1 species
UGGGGGAUCGGCUCCCUGGUGCACACGUUAUGAGAGGAUGGGCCAUGUGGGAGGACGGCUCAUCGGGGGUUUCGGUGACGCCACAGACCAAUUUCCAUGUGAUGUGAUUACAUGAAGAUGUUAAUGAUUGUGGGUGUUAAUGAUAUGCCAUUUGUGUGACUGACUGCGUGAGCAUAUAACUAGUCGGAUGACUAGAUUGAUAUAUUUAUUCAUUUGUGUGAAUGCGUGUGCGGUGCAAUAGGUAUUAUUUCUUAAAAGGCUCACAUAUCUUGUUUGAUGUUUCAGGAAGUAAGUUCUUCUUUAAUCCAAUUUAGGAUAUGGUCCUUCGGCGGAGGGCAACAGAGAAAUUUUUCCUAGUUCCACAAUUAUUUGCUAUGUAAUUAUGUAUACCAAAGAGUUAGUGACUCCGCAGUUGUAGGAUUUACAUAUAUUUAGUCGUGUAUUAACAUAGACAAAAUAAUUCUGUAAGCUCAUGUUAGAAAUGUGAUGUAUUGUAAAUUGGGCCCGAACUAUAGAAUGCUGUAGAAGAUAAACUUGGGCCGAGAAAUAAUAAAAUAUUGA